rnacentral:rRNA from 1 species
CGUCAGCUCGUGUCGUGAGAUGUUGGGUUAAGUACCCGCAACGAGCGCAACCCCUAUUGUUAGUUGCCAUCAUUCAGUUGGGCACUCUAGCGAGACUGCCGGUAAUAAACCGGAGGAAGGUGGGGAUGACGUCAAAUCAUCAUGCCCUUAUGACCUGGGCUACACACGUGCUACAAUGGUUGGUACAACGAGUUGCGAGUCGGUGACGGCGAGCUAAUCUCUUAAAGCCAAUCUCAGUUCGGAUUGUAGGCUGCAACUCGCCUACAUGAAGUCGGAAUCGCUAGUAAUCGCGGAUCAGCACGCCGCGGUGAAUACGUUCCCGGGCCUU